AAUAGAUACCCGGGUAGUCCACGCCGUAAACGAUGAGUGCUAAGUGUUAGAGGGUUUCCGCCCUUUAGUGCUGCAGCUAACGCAUUAAGCACUCCGCCUGGGGAGUACGGCCGCAAGGCUGAAACUCAAAGGAAUUGACGGGGGCCCGCACAAGCGGUGGAGCAUGUGGUUUAAUUCGAAGCAACGCGAAGAACCUUACCAGGUCUUGACAUCCUCUGCCAACCCUAGAGAUAGGGCGUUCCCCUUCGGGGGGACAGAGUGACAGGUGGUGCAUGGUUGUCGUCAGCUCGUGUCGUGAGAUGUUGGGUUAAGUCCCGCAACGAGCGCAACCCUUGAUCUUAGUUGCCAGCAUUCAGUUGGGCACUCUAAGGUGACUGCCGGUGACAAACCGGAGGAAGGUGGGGAUGACGUCAAAUCAUCAUGCCCCUUAUGACCUGGGCUACACACGUGCUACAAUGGAUGGUACAAAGAGUUGCGAACCCGCGAGGGUAAGCGAAUCUCAUAAAGCCAUUCUCAGUUCGGA
rnacentral:rRNA from 1 species